rnacentral:tRNA from 1 species
GGAGAGGUGGCCGAGUCGGUCGAAGGCAACCGCCUGCUAAGCGGUUGAAUGGGUAACACCGUUCCCAGGGUUCGAAUCCCUGCCUCUCCGCCA